CCCUUAGAUGUUCUGGGCCGCACGCGCGCUACACUGAUGCAUUCAACGAGCCUAUCCUUGACCGACAGGUCCGGGUAAUCUUUGAAUCUGCAUCGUGACGGGGAUAGAUUAUUGCAAUUAUUAAUCUUCAACGAGGAAUGCCUAGUAAACGCAAGUCAUCAGCUUGCAUUGAUUACGUCCCUGCCCUUUGUACACACCGCCCGUCGCUCCUACCGAUUGAAUGUUCCGAUGAAUACCAUGGACUGAGAGUAUGAAUGGGUUCGCCUAUUUCUGCUUCUCGGGAAGUGGAGUAAAUCUUAACAUUUAGAGGAAGGAGAAGUCGUAACA
rnacentral:rRNA from 1 species